UACGUAGGGUGCGAGCGUUAAUCGGAAUUACUGGGCGUAAAGCGUGCGCAGGCGGUUCGUUGUGUCGGCGGUGAAAGCCCCGGGCUCAACCUGGGAAUGGCCGUUGAAACUGGCGAACUGGAGUGUGGCAGAGGGGGGUAGAAUUCCACGUGUAGCAGUGAAAUGCGUAGAGAUGUGGAGGAAUACCGAUGGCGAAGGCAGCCCCCUGGGAUGAUACUGACGCUCAUGCACGAAAGCGUGGGGAGCAAACAGG
rnacentral:rRNA from 1 species